rnacentral:lncRNA from 1 species
CUCUACCACAAUGUUAUGGAGGAUCCUAAAUUUGGUGACAUUCUACAACAGGUAUGGAAUCAGGGAGGACAAGGAUCAUCACUGCAAUUAAUUUGGCAAAAACUCAAAAGUAUGAAGCAAUAGUUGAAGGGCUUAAAUGGACAUAUGGCUUCUUAUCAACAAAAACUAACUUGUGCUAGGGAACAACUAGACAUUAUCCAGAGUCAGAUUAUGAGGGACCC